AGGGUUUGAUUCUGGCUCAGAACGUACGCUGGCGGCACGCCUAACACAUGCAAGUCGAACGAAGUAGCAAUACUUAGUGGCAGACGGGUGAGUAACAUGUAGGUAUCUGCCCUUUGGCCUGGAAUAACACGAGGAAACUUGUGCUAAUACCGGAUAAGUCCUUACGGAGAAAGCUUUAUGCACCAUUGGAUGAGCCUGCACUUGAUUAGUUUGUUGGUGGGGUAAUGGCCUACCAAGACUGUGAUCAAUAGCUGAUUUGAGAGGAUGAUCAGCCACAUUGGGACUGAGACACGGCCCAAACUCCUACGGGAGGCAGCAGUGGGGAAUCUUGCACAAUGGAGGAAACUCUGAUGCAGCGAUGCCGCGUGAGUGAAGAAGGCCCUUGGGUUGUAAAGCUCUUUCGUCGGGGAAGAAAAUGACUGUACCCGAAUAAGAAGGUCCGGCUAACUUCGUGCCAGCCGCCGCGGUAAUAC
rnacentral:rRNA from 1 species